rnacentral:rRNA from 1 species
CAGUAGCCGCGGUAAUACGAAGGGUGCAAGCGUUACCCGGAUUUACUGGGCGUAAAGGGCGUGUAGGCGGCCUGGGGCGUCCCAUGUGAAAGGCCACGGCUCAACCGUGGAGGAGCGUGGGAUACGCUCAGGCUAGAGGGUGGGAGAGGGUGGUGGAAUUCCCGGAGUAGCGGUGAAAUGCGCAGAUACCGGGAGGAACGCCGAUGGCGAAGGCAGCCACCUGGUCCACUUCUGACGCUGAGGCGCGAAAGCGUGGGGAGCAAACCGGAUUAGAGACCCCAGUAGUCCCUGUCUCUUAUAC